GCCUGAGUGGCUCAGUCGGUAGAGCGUCCGACUUCGGCUCGGGUCAUGAUCUCAUGGUCCAUGUGUUUGAGCCCCGCAUCAGGCU
rfam:Felis catus isolate Cinnamon breed Abyssinian chromosome B1, whole genome shotgun sequence.